AAAGGAUUUUGCUUCGUUAAAAUUUCUGAGUCAUCAUUUUGGCAAAAUAUAUAAUUUAUGGUAAUCUGGAAUUCCAAAAUCAAACUUCAGUUUCAAAAUUCUCUUUCCAAAUGCCUCGCUUUUUGGAUGGAUCAGAGAGCCCUUGAAAACAUCCAGAAAAGAGAGACCAUCAAGCUUCACAUAAUCAUGCAACAAAGGUUCCAGCCGGUUCCAAGUGAAGACACCAGCCCUGGCCAUCAAGAAGCUACCUUGCCUCCACCAGACAGAGCAGGGCGAGAGUUCCAUGAUCCUCAGUAGACGCCAAGAACCUGGACACCCUCCAGUGGUGACAAGAAGAGACUACAGAUUUCUUCCUCAUGAAAAUAAGAAAACAACCAGGAACUUUCUGAAAUUUCUGUAAUAUGUGAAGCAGAGGGAGUCAAGUUGAAAGAAAAGGCCAUUAAUGCUGAAACACCUAUGUUGUCAUACUGGAAAAGGAAGGACUUUCAGAGAAAUAUGUAAAUAAUUUCCUCCCACUCUGUCCCAAGCCAAGGGAAGAAGUUUCUGAAAGUAAGAGCUUUGGGGAGGGAAUUGUGUGAAAAUUGGAAAGGGACAAAGAAGAAUAUUGGUGCGUCAAAUGCACUUCAAAAGGUAAAGUGAGGAACUUAACAUUACAGGUUCUUGAUGUUGUUAGUAUGAAAAUGAAACGAGGAAAAAUCUCUAACUAGUUUUGUUUUGAUAAAACACUCAGGAGUGAAAAUCACUAAGGUUUUAGUAUAAGCUUUUAGUAUAACCCUACUAAAUCACUAAGCUUUUAGUAUAACCCUACUUUCAACUUAUAGCUCUUACCAAAUGAAAUCACUUCUAAGAAACCACAGCAGGGCCACAGAAGAACCUGGCCACCAGAAGGUCUAGCUGCAGCAUUUUACCCCCAAGUUUGCUUAUUCAGGAAAUUCAAUUCAAUUCAUUCAUUGAAUGGAUUGAACUUUAAUACUAAACCAGGCUCAUUGCCACUUCCUGAGGAUUGAUCAGAUGAUCGUGAAAAUCAAUGAAAUAUUGAUCUAUACAAUUGCUGAAGGAGUCCAAUAAAAACAAAUGUCAAUAUGACUCAUUUGUUUUUAUUUUUUAAAUCAAGGGUGCAUAUAAUAAUUCCCUGAAAAGUUUUCUUAAAAUACCCUGGAUCAUAGGCCUCUCUGGAUUUCCUGAUUCUGAUUUGGGACAUGCCAAGGUGUGUCAGGCAAGCACAGUUUUAGAAAAUAAAAAUCUCAGCAUGUAAUUAUGAAGCAUAACACAUAUUGAGAACUGCUGAUGUAGAUUAUCACAUGCAAGCAUAAGUAGAUUCAGUACAGAGGUUGAUUCAGUACAGAGGUUGAGGUCCUCUGAUUCAGUACAGAGGUUGAGGUCCCCAGGGAAAGGAAGUUGAUGCCCAAUGCAAAAGAUUACAUUAAUAAUUUGUCUUGGACAGCUCAGGCUACCAUAACAGAAUACCAUAGACUGCAUGACUUAGAAAUUUAUUUUCUCACAAUUCUGGAGGCUUGUUCAACUCCAAAAUUUGUUUCCUGGUGAGGACCUUCUUCCUGACUUGCAGACAGCCACCUUCUCACUUUGUCUUCAAGUGGCAGGUUGGGGAGGAGGAGACAGAAAGUGGUGAGAGAAAGUGACAAAGAGAUCUUUAUUUUUUAAAAUAAAUCUACUAAUUACAUCAUGAAGACUCCACCCUCAUGACCUUCUAUGACAUUAAUUACUUCUAAAUGACUCAUCUUCAGAUAGCAUCAUAUUGGGGAUUAUGGCCUCACAUAUGAAUUUGGGAGAGAGGGGGAUAUAAUUAAGUUCAUAGCAUAGUUUAAUUUGUAUUAUCAGUGUGAUUCAAGAUGUUGUUAAAUUAUCCAGAGUAGGCUGUAGUAUAAAAUGAACUAUCAGAGUAACUUUUAGAUAAAAACAGUGCAGAAAAUUCUAGCACCAUGCUUGAAAAUGAAUGCAAUAGAGAAAAAGUUAUAAAGAGAGAAAAACUAUAGAAAAAAAUUAUCAAUUUGGGAAAAAAUAGG